UCUCACUUUUGGUUUCCCUCCCCUUCUAAAAUUUCUCCCCGACUCCUUUUCCCUCUUCUAAAAUUAUAAUUUGUCUUUCAUUGUUGCGUUGUUUUUUUUCUCUAGAACCCUAGGUUGCAGGUCAUUAAGCUCGUCUCGUCUUUUGUGACUCGUCUUCUUCGCUGUCAGUGAUGGCUAGUGGUGCUGGCGGCAAGGUCUCUUUCAAGGUUAUCGCACCUCUGAUCCCAAGCUGCCAAUCAAAGUACUUAGCCCUCCAGAAGGAGCUCCUUUAGUGUUGCUCUUAAAUUUGCUGCUGAAUAAUUCAAAGUUCCUCAACAAACUAGUGCUGCCACCACCAACG
rnacentral:lncRNA from 1 species